rnacentral:rRNA from 1 species
AUGGCGGCGCUUUGCACCGCUACCUUGAUGAAGGCAUCGUUGUGUAACUGUUGUCGACCCACUCGUGCUGCUUCGGGGGAAAUCCUAGGAUCUGGUCUUCCAGAUCAGACGGUAGCGGUACUACGGUGCCGUUUCUCUCUUGGGAGCAUCGUUUGUGGAGCAGCGCUAGAAGACAGAGGCAUGAGGUGGAGUGGCUUCGUCUUGCGUGGAGCUUCGGUGGAGCUGUCAAGUCAUACCGGACCGACAGGUGCUAUGCUGAGUCAUGCCCGAUUGGCAGGUGCUACGCACGACCGUUCUUCUAGAGUCUUCGCGUUUGGACAGAUGAGCGCAGGGCGGUGGCGCCGUUAG